rnacentral:rRNA from 1 species
UGCAGUCGAACGGUGAAGCCCUUCGGGGUGGAUCAGUGGCGAACGGGUGAGUAACACGUGGGCAAUCUGCCCUGCACUCUGGGACAAGCCCUGGAAACGGGGUCUAAUACCGGAUAUGACCUUCCUCUGCAUGGGGGUUGGUGGAAAGCUCCGGCGGUGCAGGAUGAGCCCGCGGCCUAUCAGCUUGUUGGUGGGGUAAUGGCCUACCAAGGCGACGACGGGUAGCCGGCCUGAGAGGGCGACCGGCCACACUGGGACUGAGACACGGCCCAGACUCCUACGGGAGGCAGCAGUGGGGAAUAUUGCACAAUGGGCGCAAGCCUGAUGCAGCGACGCCGCGUGAGGGAUGACGGCCUUCGGGUUGUAAACCUCUUUCAGCAGGGAAGAAGCGCAAGUGACGGUACCUGCAGAAGAAGCACCGGCUAACUACGUGCCAGCAGCCGCGGUAAUACGUAGGGUGCGAGCGUUGUCCGGAAUUAUUGGGCGUAAAGAGCUCGUAGGCGGCCUGUCGCGUCGGAUGUGAAAGCCCGGGGCUUAACCCCGGGUCUGCAUUCGAUACGGGCAGGCUAGAGUGUGGUAGGGGAGAUCGGAAUUCCUGGUGUAGCGGUGAAAUGCGCAGAUAUCAGGA